rnacentral:rRNA from 1 species
AGCUCAGUUGGUAGAGCAUCUGAUUUGUAAUCAGAGGGUCGCGUGUUCA